ACCACUUCAGCAUUUACUUAGAACUCUCUGCUUCCCAUCAUACUCAGACUAAGCUGAACUGGAGUUAAGGUAGGGAUGAAUCUCAGACUUGCUGUGUUCGGAAUUAUCUUCCUCAUCCCAUGACACAGACUUUUUUACUGAGUCAACCUAAUCUUUCCUGGAUCAUUCCUCUCUCGGGACCAGUCCUCUUCCAGAAAAUUUCUCAGUCUUUAUGCAGACAAGAUUCUGGGGGCUGACACUGCUUUUUUUGCCAGAUGUCCCUAGACACAUCUGAAUCUCUUUUAGUCUCAAGCUGGAGCCUUUUUCACCAUUGCACAAAAAGCUGGGUAUAGUUCAAAUUCCUGACUGUAUAUUCUGAUUCCCCUGGGCAUUUACACUCUGCCAUCCCACACAGUUCCCCCUCCUGUGUGAGGGUCCUAUUGCAAUUCAUUAGCGUGCUUUUUUUUUUUUUUUUUUUUUUUUUUUUGCUUUUUGUUUUGGAGACGGAGUCUUGCUCUGUCCCUCAGGCUGGAGUGCAGCGGCGCCAUCUCAGCUGAAUGCAACCUCUGCCUCCUGGGUUCAAGAGAUUCUCCUGCCUCAGCCUCCCAAGUAGCUGGGAUUACAGGUGCGUGCCACCACGCCUGGCUAAUUUUUUGUAUUUUUAGUAGAGACAGGGUUUCACCGUGUUAGCCAGGAUGACCUUGAUCUUCUGACCUCGUGAUCCUCCCACCUCAGCCUCCCAAAGUGCUGGGAUUACAGGCGUGAGCCACAGCGCCCGGCCUUCAGCGUGCUUUUUUUUUUAAUGGUUUGCUAUAUUUACAUCUGGUUUCUCCUUCUGAAUGGGAGUUAAUUGAAGAUACAAUACAGUCAAGCAACAGGAGGAAAGAAACAACAAAUGGGAGACAUGAGGUUCCGAGGAUCAUGGUUCCAACACAGGACAGCAGAAAAGAGGAGUUGCAAAAUGACUGCUACAAAACAGACUUAAAGAGAAAACAUUCCAGUUUCACGUAGGAGGACAAAAGAAAAAACAAAACAACAUGAACAUCCAUUCUCUGCUUCUUUUCAGAGAAGGAUGGAGCAAAUGCCCCAGAUGAAGCCUACACGACAUGAGUCAGAGAACUUUGGCCAGGAUGUCUGGGGAAAAAGUUUCCUCUUUCUUCUCUGGGAACUAUCUGGAGAGGGUUGUUUUAACGCUGGAUGUGAACAGCGACUCGUGUAGCCCCAGAAGCCUCUGACAGCCGCGUUGGAAUCAUAAGUUCUCAAAAUGAAGAACGCAAAAGAUUCUUCAAAAUCAAACUGUGUCCGGAAUUGGUGGGUUCUUGGUCUCACUGACUUCAAGAAUGAAGCCACGGACCCUGGCGGUGAGUGUUACAGCUCUUAAGGUGGCGUUUCUGGAGUCUGUCCCUUCUGAUGUUCAGAUGUGUUCGGAGUUUCUUCCUUCUGGUGGGUUCGUGGUCUCGCUGGCUCAGGAGUGAAGCUGCAGAUCUUCACGGUUGCUAGUAACACAAUAAUAAAGCUGCUUUAUUUUCCAGUGAAGAUGUAUGUGAUAGGGAGUGGAGGAAGAAAAAGGCCAGAAAAUUCCAUAGUUAGCAAAUAUACCUUUCUUACUUAAAAUUCUUUUUCCAAUGUGAGCCUUCUAAAGAGUUACUGAGAAAUUAGGUGAGCUCACCUCAUUUAAUGCAAUAGAUAUGUUUCUGAAAAAUAAGCAAUACAUAGGACAUUGGCCAAUUAAGAAUUCUGAUGAAGAAGAAUUUUCACAUCCGAAAGAGUAAAAAUGAAAAACGGUACAAAUGUAGUGGCUUUUAAAUUUCAAAACAAAUUAUUUUGAUAAGAUAAAUAUUCCUCUCAUAAAGUGAAAAUGGAAGAGACUGCUUGCUGGGUGUUCGUCAAAAUGGAGUUAGAUGGUCUGUCCCAGACUCCCCUGUUGUUAGUUCUGAGAACAGAAGUAAUGGUGCUUCUUCAGGACUGGCUCAUAGAAACCUGCCGUGUUCAGCCCCCACAAUCCUCUCCCUUCUGCUGGCUGGAAACAAAUGACAACGAAGCCUCACGUCUUGGAGAAACCACACUGCUGAGGAACUCAAGUCCUAGAAGAACCAUUUGAAGAGACCCAUCUCACUAAAGAAAAUCACACAAGCAAGAAGUAAACUUCAUUGUAUCUAUGUAUUUAAUUGUCAUAACAGUCUACCUUAACUGAUACAGCAAAAAUUCGCUCCUUUUCUGGACACCCAGUUUCAAAAUCUCAGUGUCAUUUUUUACUUCUCUCUUUUCAGGUUGUUUAAUAUAAUAAAAUUUGUGUGUGUGUGUGUGUGUGUGUGACAAGGUCUUGCUCUGUUGCCCAGGCUGGAGUGCAAUGGCACGCUCCCAGCCCACUACAGCCUUGACCUCCAAGCUCAAGUGUUCCUCCCACCUCAGCCUCCAGAGUAACUGGGACUACAGGCAUGGGCCACCACACCCGGCUAAUUUUUGUACUUUUUGUAGAGACAGGGUUUCACCAUGUUGCCCAGGCUGGUCUUGAACCCCUGGGCUCAAGCGAUCUGCCCAUCUCCACCUCCCAAAAUUCUAGGAUUACAGGCGUGAGCCACUACACCCAACCAUUUUAUUUUUAAAAGUUUUCUUUGCAAUAUUGCUCACAUUGUUUCCUUCCUUUUUAUUCUUAUUGUCACUCCCAAGUUCAGGCUUUUACCUCUUUUAUUUGAAGUAUUAAAGUAUACUUCUAAGUCAUUUCUGUGGCUUAAAUUUAUUUAAUCCACUCCAUCCUGCAUCCUACCAACACAAUAACAUUGUUUCAUCAUUUCAAAUUGAAAUCGAAACUCUCCAAAGCUUUCCUACUGCUGAAUGGAUAAAAACACAAAAUCCUCAAUAGAGAAUUCACUUUCUGGAGCCAACUUACCUUUCCAAAUAUUUCCCAUUAUUCCCUAAGAGAAUCCUCCUGACAUACUCACUGUUUUUCAUAUACACUAGACCUUUUCUCAACCACCUAUUUGUCCACACAUUUUUCUUCCAGCUAGAAUAUUAUUUUCCCUUUCUCACUUCUGAAAGUCUUACCUGUCAUUCAUGGUUCAUCUCAAGCUCAAUCUUCUCCUUGAAACCUUUAAGCAUACCCUCCUGGAAAGUUAUCUCCCUCACCUCGAACCACCCCCCCAGCCCCUGCCAGAAUCUCCUAUAGGGCUGAUUGUUUAUCCUGCUUAUUAUAUAUUUAUAAAACACUCCACUGAGUUAUUAAUUACCUUUUCCUUGACUGUGAAAACAUGACUCUGGCUUCAAGGUAGGACCAUUUUUUCUCUAACACUGUGUCUCAUACACUUCAGCACAAGCUCUUAGUGGCCUGUGCAUUCAACUCCCAUGCAUAGCCACUUCCUCCAGGCAAACCCCACAGCCAGCAUCCAAAUUUUAAAAGGGGUUCUGUCAUCAACCCAAAGUUUCUUCUCUCUCAAGGAACCUAGAUUUAGAAGUUGAGUCUAGGCCACCUGUCUAAGAUACAGUAGUUAAUUUAACAUAUUUUAUUGCUCUCAACAUCACAGAGAAAGAGCCUUACUGCAGAUCUCAUUCUUUCCUUCAAAGCCAGUUUGCCCAUUCCUCUUCAGAAACCUUUAAGAGUGGUUAUUGGGAGAGAUGAUAAGACUCCAUCUGCUUAAGGAGUCCCUCUAACCCAGAAUAGUAGAUGUAAACACCUGACAUGUUGUUAUAGAGUGAAUGUUUGUGUUCCCCUCCAAUCCAUAUGUUGAAAUUCCAAGCCCCAAUGUGUUCGCAUUGGGAGGUGAGGCCUUUGGGAGGUAAAUAGAUCAUGAAGGUGAAGUCUUCAUGAAUGGAUUAGUGUCCUUAUAAAAGAGACCCCAGAGAGCUCUCUCAUCCUGUUUCUGCCAUGUGAGGACACAGCAAGAAGUUGGUCAUCUGCAACCUGAAGUGGCUCCUCCCCAGAAACUGAAUCUGCUGGGGUCUUAAUGGUGGGCUUCCCAGCCUCCAGAAUUAUGAGUGUAAAUGUUUGUUGUUUAAGCUACCCAGUCUAGGGUAGUUUGCUAUACUACCCCAAACUGACUAAGAUACAUAUGUUUGUCAUCCACUCAGUUGUUUUCCUAAAAUAAAUGAAGUCAGCUCCAAAGAUGAAUUUUCAUCUCUUUUUGUAGAGAUGGGUGCUAUUAUGCUUUUUAAUGAACGUUUAUUCACAAAUAAAAACAAAACAUACCUCUCACAUCCUCAGAGCAAAUACUUACAGUAACAUACAUUGAUGCUCACAAGCUCAUUACAUUUCAUGUUUACUAUUCAUUGAUAACAUUACAUUUAUUAUUAUCACAUAAACCAUACCUCCUGUUUAUGAAGCACUUAUGGUGUUUUAGUCAAUGUUAUGGUACCUGCUAUAUAUGGUCUCUAAUUUUAUUUUAACUUCCUAUAGUAAACAAUAUUAGGUGCUAACUCAAUAGUCAUUUUCUAACCUGAUUUUUCCUUGCAAACAGAACCCCAAAUUUGUUUGGAGAGAAAUGUGUCCAAAUCCAAACAAAGCAUCACCAUUUCUUUGAACCAUCAUAAGGAUCUAAUCAUUUUUUUUGUUUUCCUAGCCUCCCUCUAGCCAGAGAUACUGGGUAACACAGUUCUGGCUGAGAAGACAAGAGAAGAAAUCUGCUAAGCAUUUCUGGAAAAAGUUUUGAUUUGCUGAUGAAAGGGAACAGACAUACUGGUUGCCUUCCUUUUCCCUUUCAGCUGCCUAGUCGCCAUUUUGCAAUGUGAAACAACAUCAUUAAGGAAAGAUCAAAACAAUUGCAGAGAUGUCAACCAUCAUGCCUUUGAAUUCAUGCUCACAGUUGUCUGCCUCCAGAUUCAGUUAUAUUUGAGGUACUCUUUGAGUUAAGAUCCUUCUCAUUUUAUACCACUUGCAGCUGAACACACUCCCCACUAAUUUACCUUGUAAGGUGAAUUUCACUUAAAGGAAGAACACAUAAGUCAGGGAAUGACACAUAAUAGUAAAUGCAGGGUUUUUUUUUCUAUUUAUGAUAUAGAUUUAUACAACUGCUAUGUUCUUGACAUUGUACCAAUUUCAAGGUACAAAUAAGACAUAAUCCCUAAAAGCAUGGGUUACAAAAUCUGGGUUCAGCAUAGGGUUUCAUGAUAAACAAACAAACACAAAUUGUUUUUUAUUGUAUUUCCUUCUUCUUCACAUCUUGUGAAUCUAAGAAAAAUAUCAGAAUGUUCGUUUCAGCUCAAUUUUUGAAGAGUACAAUCUCUAAGUAAAAAGAAACUGUAAAUGUUUAUAAAUGUAACUAGAGCCUAGUAGAAAAUAAAGCCAUGCAAGUGUGUUUAGGUCCUAAUCUUAUUAACCAGAUUAGUGACACACAGUCUGCCCAAAGUUAAUGAAAGCAGUGAGGUUCUUUGACUUCAGUAGAUACACACCUGAACCACAGAGAUAAACUUGCUUCAAACCUGUGCGAUAUGUUUUUCUAAGCAUAAAAUUGAGCAUGAUAGCUCCAAUUUCAGUCUCAGUUUCAAAGCUUCCCUUUCCCGAAUAAGAGGCAAACUGUCACAUUAAAUUUAGCGAAUUAAAAUCAGUUAACUUGAAAAGCUCUUGGCCCCAAUGCAGAGAAAAUUGUUUGCAUAAUAAUAACUUAUUUCCUUUUUUAAAAGGCGGACUUCUGCCUGAAUGCUUCUAUAAACUUUUAAGAAAAUGGGAUUCUCAAAUCUCAAGCGUAUUGGGUUGCAGUUGGCACUUGAAGCUGGGGACAUGCAGAGCUGGCUAAUGUCAGCAGCUGUAGGACUGUCAAGAAAAAUAGGUGGAAGGGACACUUUUAUUAUAAGUAGACUUGCAAGGCAUUCCAACUUUCAGCUGCUCAACCCAGUAUACCAAACACCUCUGACUACCUCAAGUGUGGCCUUGCUGAGUGCUUCCAUAUUUAGGGGUUAUUAGACAGGACUGAAGCAAGUGACCUCUAAUGAGGAAGCAAUCAGGGCAGGCUCUGACCCUCCUCAGAGGUACUGUAAUGAACUGGCCUUGGAAGGUCUUUGAUGCUGCCUUUGCAUACUGUAUAUGAGCUUUCUGCUCAGUCAUUUCCUCUGCGCUCUGGUAGCACAGCAUGAAGCCUGCUAUUAGAAAAAAGGUUUAUUGCUACCUUGCAAACAUUUAUUGGGUAAUAUCUAAAACAUGGUGUCAAGUUAUAGUAAUGCGCUGUUCUGGGAAACUUUUUGAGAAUUUUAGUGUUUCAGAAGAUGGUCCUUUGAGAAUUCUUCUGUUUCAGAAAUGAAAAGUGGUAGAUAUAUACGUGUGUGUGUAUAAUAUGCUCAUGUAUCCUCUGAUUACUUGCCAGAGAUGUACCAUUUUUCUUUCAAGGGAAACAUCUAUUCCUAAGAUAGAUUAUUCUUGAAAUUUUCAAAGAGUAUGCCUCAGAGAACAAAUAUACAAAUUUACCAUUUGUCUGCAGAUAUUAUUUGCCUGUGUUUAUGCUAGGUCACUGACACCACACACAUUUUAAUCCCCAAGGGAAUUUAUUUGGUGGUGUUAUCUACUCAACCAAGCUGAAGCUUAUCUAGUUCACAAGAAAAUAGUCAAUAUGAGCUCCAUGCAGACUUAUGCUGUUAAUGCAGAAGAGGGAAAGAGAAUUUACCUUUAACUGUUAUGAUGAAAAUGUGUACAAUGACACUUAACUAUGGCAUGCAAAUCCUCUUUUCCUCCCCCACAGGUAUCUGGAAAGUACCUUAUACAGCUAGGUGCUUAGAAAAUGUUUAUUGAUUAAAUAGAUGAUGAUUAACAGAUUAAUAAAAGGUGAAAGUUACUAUCUAUGCAUUUUUUUCCAGUUUGAUGUUCAAAAACUUACCAAUGGAUGGGGAGUUGCUUUUCAUAAACAAUUUAUAAAGCACUGUCCUGGAUGAAAUUGUAAAAAGGACGUGGUGUCAAAGAUGACUCAGUGGAGUUGAGGUGAAAAAUGUGUAAUGAGCAAAUCAUGGUAAUUGGGAUAUCCAUCACCUCAAACCCUUAUCAUGUCUUUGUGUUGAGGACAUUUCAAAUCUUCCCUUCCAGCUAUUUUGAAAUAUACAACAAAUUAUUGUUAAGUGUAGCCACCCUAGUGUGCUACUGUACACUAGGACUUACUUAUUCCUUCUAUCUAACUGUAUUUUUGAACCCAUGAACCAACAUCUCUUUGAUUUCCAGCCUGGGCUUUGGUGUCCCUUUUUUUGUGUGUUUUCAUAGGGCCCUAUAUUUAUAUUAUUUGGGCUCAACACAUUGCAAAACUGCAGAGGAGUUUACUAUUAUGCACAUUAUUAUUCUAUAUUCUGUCACUCUAAGAAACAAUAAGUGACCAUCUGAAGAGACCAUCUUCUAGCACCAAAAUAUUUAAAGAUGAUUAAGAAUAAGACAAGGGUCUCCUUAUUUACAAAAUGACAUAAUUGAAAGGACUAGAUUAUUAGCAACCCCUCUGGAAAAGGAUUACUCUUUUGGAUUUUAAUUACAUAACUAAUAUAUCAACUGAAGUGCUAUGCCCUGACGUGUGCUCCCCUCAGCUUCACGAUCCAUAUGUUGAAACCCAACCCCUUAAUGUGAUGGCAUUUGGAGAUGGGGCUUUGGAGAUAUUAGUUAGGUUUAGAUAAGGUCAUGAGAAUGGGGCUCUUAUGAUGAGAUGAGCACCUUCAUAAAAAGAGACACGAGGUAUUUCUCUUUUCUCUCUUCUCUCUCUCCCUCUUUCCCUCCCUCCCUCUCUCCUCCUUCUCUGUCUUCCUCCUUUAUGUGAGGACAUAGCCAGAAGGCAGCUGUGUCUGCAAGCCAGGAAGAAAGCCCUCACCAGGAAUCAACUAUAUCAGCACCUUGAUCUUGAACUUCUAUCCUUAGAACAGAGAGAAAAUGAAUUUCUAUUCUUGAAGCCACCCAGCCUACGGUAUUUUGUUAUGGCAGUCAAGCUGAAUAAGAUAUAUAUCUACACUGAGACCAUUAAAAGUAGUUCCUGAUUGGCAGAAAGGUUGUAUAUAUAAAUGGCUCAUUGAAAGUUCUCACUGCAUGGAUGAGAAAUCUCAGAUUGAGGUUCUUAAAUUUUGAAAAAUAGAAAUAAAGGAAUUAACGCAACAGUCUUCUAAUCUUUCUGCCUUCAGUUUUUGCUCCCUUUGACUAUUCUCUGUACACUGCAUCCAGAGGUUAUAUUUUGACAGGGAAAUUCAAAUGAUGUAUAUUAUUUUUCUACUCAAAAUCUCCCCACUGGCACCCUAUUGUCCUAAAGCAUAAACUGCUAUUGCAGUCAAUUCACCUGAAAUAAGCUCUCUUCCUGCCGCGUCUUUUACAUAGAUUGUUUACUCCUCUUGUGAUCCCAGUUCCCUGCUUCUCCCUCUCCUCCACACUUUUCAAUAAUUAAAUUAUACUCAGCGUUCAGAAUUCAGUCAGGAUAUCCUACCUUCUUUGGUCAGCCCCCCAGGGUUUUCUGAAAGCUGGGAAGAGGCCCUCUUCUGCAAUCCCCAUGCACUGUAGACACAUCCCCUUUAGGUCCCUAUGUUGUGAGUGACUGUUUUCUUGUCUGUCUCUGCCACUAUAUUAUGCACUCUUAGAAGGCAAGGACUACUUCUCUUCAUUGUAUACCUAGAACUUAACCCAAAAACUGGCAUGUGCAUGCACCCAAGUUUUCACUGAGAAAAUAAUUGCAUGAGUCACUUGCUUUCCAGGUCUUUCUGACUACUAUGAUGGUGAUGACUUGUAGUCACAACAUGAAAUUGGUUUCUGCCCCUGAGGAUUGUAUCUCUCUACUUUGCAUGACCCCUAGAUUUCAAUCCCUCUUUAUUCUCUCCUGAUCCUUGGGUUCCAGUAAUUCUCUGGGUUUCAAAUAUAAGCACAGUGUGAGGAGCUCUUCAUUCUUGACAGAACUUUCAGGCAAGAAAGAAAUAGAUUCCUGGGAAUAUCUAUAUUCCCUCUGGCCCUAUUCCUUACUCCCAAAACAUAAUAACCCUUUUCUUAGGUUUUUUCUCUCUACCUUUUUACUUCUUCCUUAUUCUCACGAUUACAUGAAUUAACUGCCUACAGAGUAUGAAUUCAGACUGAAUUAAUAUGUAUUUAUGUGACAUAAAAGAUCUCUUUCAGUACUUCUUAAUCUUACCAAAUGAUGCAUACUAUACAAUAAAAAAUUGCAAUUUUUUCAUUAGCUUUUUUUUUUUUUUUUGGUUUCUGGUAGGGUUUUCCUUUAGUGGUAUUUUAGCAAGUAAUACAAUCCAGUUAUUUUUAAAAGUAUAUUAGUAGAAACUCACCAGAAGUCAAUAUACUGGUCCAAGAAUAAUUAACUGAUUGACUUUAUUGUUUAUGAAACUUUGUAAUGUUCCUUUUGAUGUGAAUGCUUAUCUUAGGGGGAAAUGCACUUUUCAAAUAUAAAUGAUCAUGUUUAAACAAACUGCUUCUAGUUUCAAAUAUGGCACUGAAAAACAAAAUAAAAUAAACACUCAAUUUUUAUUUAAAAUGGUGGGCAAUUUACUUUCUUUUUUGUUUGGGAUCUGAUUCAAGAGCCUCAAUUCAGCUUAUUGCAGAACUAACUAAACUAAACCUCAAAGGAAAAAUUUUAAAAAUGAUUUUUAUAGCAAUGACAUCAUUAUAUAAAAUGUUGGCAUUUCAUAUUUUCCAAACAGAAACUUGGAAAUAACAGAAUACAAGUUAAAUAAAACAAAUUGAAACUAAUCCAAUUCUCUGUUUUUCUUUCCCUUUUUAAAAACCAAGCUUUUUAUUGCCAGCUUUUACUUUGCAUAAUAAUAUAUGAUGAAUUGUCCAAGAAAGACCCAGUGGGUACAUUUCUCUUAGAAAUAAGCCUCUCUAUGCAAUAGGAGGCCAAGUUCUAGGGCAACAUACUUAUAUAAUCAUGUAAGAUUUUCCUUAUUGCUAACAAUUGACCAACCUGGGCAUUUGUCAAAUAUGUAAACACAUGGAGGUCACUGGUCACCAGAGGAUUGAAAACACAAAUCACUCUAUUCAUAUCCAUCCCUAGUUCUAGAAAAACAAUACCAAAUUAAAGCAUAUAUCCUACUAGCAAUAGGACUAGCAAAAUUAUUUUGGUAUACCAGAGCUACAUGUUAUACAUUUUGCUACUUAUGGAUUUAAUUACUCAGGAUAAUUAUACACAUGGCUACAACUGUAAACUUUAUAAUAUUUUGCUGGCAUACCUUCCAAAAGAGUUUGAAAAGCUAUGAAUUUAAUUCUAUAUUUGCAUUUGACAUAUAAAGUAC
rnacentral:lncRNA from 1 species